UACGUAGGGUGCAAGCGUUGUCCGGAAUUAUUGGGCGUAAAGAGCUCGUAGGCGGUUUGUCGCGUCUGCUGUGAAAACCGGAGGCUCAACCUCCGGCCUGCAGUGGGUACGGGCAGACUAGAGUGCGGUAGGGGAGAUUGGAAUUCCUGGUGUAGCGGUGGAAUGCGCAGAUAUCAGGAGGAACACCGAUGGCGAAGGCAGAUCUCUGGGCAUUAACUGACGCUGAGGAGCGAAAGCAUGGGGAGCGAACAGG
rnacentral:rRNA from 1 species